rnacentral:rRNA from 1 species
CAACCCCAGCGAAUUUUUGGGAGCUUGCUCCCGAAAAUUAGCGGCGGACGGGUGAGUAACACGUGGGCAACCUGCCUAUAAGACUGGGAUAACUUCGGGAAACCGGAGCUAAUACCGGAUAAUUCCUUUCCUCUCAUGAGGGAAGGCUGAAAGACGGUUUCGGCUGUCACUUAUAGAUGGGCCCGCGGCGCAUUAGCUAGUUGGUGAGGUAACGGCUCACCAAGGCGACGAUGCGUAGCCGACCUGAGAGGGUGAUCGGCCACACUGGGACUGAGACACGGCCCACACUCCUACGGGAGGCAGCAGUAGGGAAUCUUCCGCAAUGGACGGAAGUCUGACGGAGCAACGCCGCGUGAAUGAUGAACGUUUUCGGAUCGUAAAACUCUGUUGUUAUGGAAAAACAAGUACGAGAGUACCUGCUCGUACCUUGACGGUACCUACCAAAAAGCCACGGCUAACUACGUGCCAG